CGGUAUUAUUCAUGACAUUCCUUCGACGUCUUUUGCCCCACGAUUCAACGGAUUCACGUCCCCACUCGCAAACAGCCUGUCAACGAGCAACACGAAACGCUGUUAAACUUUUUCCCCCUUUCGAGUUUCGGCACGCAAGUUUUUAUUACCGGUUCGCAUGGUCCGAGACAGUACUUGACGUUACAUUGGAAGAUGACACCAUAAGAUUCCGUGAACCUGAAGGCUUCGUAGACCGAUUGAAGGGCGUUACCGUCUGGCGUGAAGCUCGGGAAUAUGGAGGGAUCCACUGGACAUCUAAAAUUACAUCGUUCCGUGAGAUCCCUUUUAGAUAGAUCAGUUUCGAUCGAGCAAAAAAUACUAACCCUUCGUCGUCGAUUAUUUGGAAGGUGCUCUUAGAGUCCUUGGCCAUAGCAACGCAGCUGCGAGCAAAGAUUCCGUAAGUUUCCACUUCUCUUGAUCUGCUAUCGAGAAUACGUAUCCUUGGUGGUGGUGCCUCGGGCGCACUAGUGAUGCUAAUCAUUUCCGGAUCUCUGAUAGGCAUCAUCCCGAAAGUGAUGUUCUUCGAUGACAUAUCAUGCCAGUCUGAAAACCGUCACGCUGCCAUGAUGAACAGAGAGUUUGAGGAAAAUUUUGGGAUACGAAAUUAAAUUUCCGUGAGAUUUAUUAUUUUUUUCUUCUUUUUCGUUCUUUUUCCUUUUCUUUUUUUUUAAUCUUUUGCCAUACAUGAAAGAUACUUAC